CCUUCCUGGUGUUAAUCUUCUUUUUGAUGGCUCAGAGUUGCACCCCUUUGAGAUAGGUGCUUGUCUACAGGCUCGGCAACCAGUCUCAUUAAUAGCAGAGGCAGCAGCUGCUUCUGCAUCUCUGCAACAAACUAGGGCUUCGUCCUAGAAAUGCGGUUCAGUGGCAUUUAUAGACUCAUCAUGUUACUAACAAGUAACAAGUGACUGCCACGUCCUUCAUGCUUAUUGUCUGGCUCGUCUCCUCAUCUUUGAGGUUGGUAAAAUGUGCGUCCGCUCCAGCUUAGUUCAGAGGUAGUUGAUUUGGUACACAACUUUGUCUGAUCAUGGAUACACCCCUGGUUUGUAACUAUAAUGAAAAAGAGACUGAACAGCGUUUUGGUCAAGUAUACCUUGAUCAUAAAUGAUGCUGAGCUCAUGGUUACUUAUAUCCACCAUUAAAGAAACACAUUUUUUUUUAUCAUUUUAUGUUCGUAACUUUUUUUUUUUUUCCUUUUUGGGGUGGGGGGAGAUAGAUAUCAUGCUCGUGUGUUGUUGCACAAUUUUGAUUGAUUAAUAUGUGAAAACAUUCUUGGGUAGAAGGAGAAAGAAUUAGAGAAAUGAAGGCAUUCUGCGGCAAAACUGCUUUCAACUUGGUAGGUGACAGUUUUCACUGCUUUUGGUAAUUUCACUCUUGUGGAGAAACAAUCUACUGCAGUGUGCUCGUCUUUUUUUCUCUCAUUUUGAAGAAAUUUUCUGGUGACAUUCCUUUUCCCUCUGGAUUAAAGAAACAAUUCCCUAAAUACAUUUGACGGGAGUGGAGGGAAAAGGGAAAAUUGUUAAUAUCUAAAGUUGGAAGCAAAUGUUUAUUUAUUUGGUUGUAAUUUAAGAUUAUUAUGUUUUUGAUGAGCACCCAGGAGAGAAUUUGCCUGUAUGUUUGGUAAAAUGCAAUGAAGCAGAAAAUAUUCUUAUAAUUAUUUAAUUGGCGAUUUGUAGUUUGUAAUAACUAAUACUCAAGAUUCAAUUUGCUUGAGGGCAGUGAA